CAGUCGCCACGGUAAUACGAAGGGUGCAAGCGUUAAUCGGAAUUACUGGGCGUAAAGCGCACGUAGGCGGCUUGGUAAGUUAGAGGUGAAAGCCUGGAGCUCAACUCCAGAAUUGCCUUUAAGACUGCCGAGCUAGCAGGUGAGAGAGGUAAGUGGAAUUCCGAGUGUAGAGGUGAAAUUCGUAGAUAUUCGGAAGAACACCAGUGGCGAAGGCGGCUUACUGGCUCAUACUGGACGCUGAGGUGCGAAAGCGUGGGGAGCAAACAGGAUUAGAUACCCGCGUAGUCCCUGUCUCUUAUAC
rnacentral:rRNA from 1 species